rnacentral:lncRNA from 1 species
AGGGGUAUUCAUCACCAAUGUUUACUUUUACGUCAAACGACAACUUGAAAUAUGAGUAUGCAAAAGCACUUUAAGUGUGUGACUUGUUGAGUAACCGGGUGCAUCCAUCACAAAUGCUUGUAUUCGCAUCAAAAGGCAAGUGACAACUUAAAGACAAAGAAUAAUUCGUCAAAAACAAAAAACUCUCUAGUUUGCUACCUUGUUUGUAGUAGUGAGAAGGGGUGAUUGCAGGUUGAGUUGUUACAUGAUUCAAUUGUGUUGGUCG